GACGAACGCUGGCGGCGUGCUUAACACAUGCAAGUCGAACGGAAAGGCGCUGCUUUUGUGGGUUUCAUGAGUGGCGAACGGGUGAGUAACACGUGAGUAACCUGCCCUUGACUUUGGGAUAACUUCUCGAAACUGGGGCUAAUACCGGAUAUGAUCUCCUGCUCCACAGGGGGCGUUGGAAAGUUUCGGCGGUGCGGGCUGGACUCGCGGCUUACCAGCUUGUUGGUGGGGUAGUGGCUGACCAAGGCUUUGACGGGUAGCCUGCCUGAGAGCGUGGCCGGCCACAUGAGGCCUGAGAUAGGGCGCAGACUACUACGGGAGGCAGCAGUGGGAAAUCUUGCGCAGUGGGAGGAAGCCUGAUGUAGAAACGCCGCGUGCGGGAUGACGGCUUACGGGUUGUAAACCGAUUUCGCCUGUAACGAACCGUGAGUGACGGUAAUGGGUAAAGAAGCAACGGCUAACUACGUG
rnacentral:rRNA from 1 species